CUGGAGUGUCAGGAACCAGACCCUAGCAGAGCUCAGCACCCAGCUCCUUUGUCUCGCCCGCCCCCUCGUCCCCACUUCCUGCCCAGCUUCUAGCUAGCGAUCUGCGAUGCGGCACGGACUUUGUAAACACGCCGCGCCUGUGGGGUGGACGCCUGUUGUGUUUGGGUGCCGCGGAAGCGGGGUGCACGCCCCUGUCCUGUCCGUGCUGGCGGCUGUGAUCACGCCUACUGUCCAAAAACAGAUCUCCAGCAGCUGGAGAGAACGUGAGGCCGCCAUCCGAGCUUCGGGGGACUCAACUGCCAAGAGCCCUGAGCCCUGAAAGCUUCUGGAAGGAAGUUGUGGACCAGCAGACCUUCAGGAGGAGAAAGGAGAAGGAUGGCAGUGGAUCCAAAGCCUUCGGGAGAUGGCUCGGUGGAUAAGGGCAGAUGCUAUCAAGCCAGGGGACCUGAGUUCAACCCUGGGGCCCACAACUGUGGAAGGAGAGGAUAAAUUGCUCUAAGUUGUUCUCUCAUCUUCACACGAGCAUUGUGACAUGUAUGCCUUCUCCAUAAAUAAAUAGAAUAAAAACAUUUUAAAAAGAAGCAAAAAGACUUAUUUUUCUGUUAAGACCUGUUAUUUAUAUACUGCAAUAAUUGGGCUAUAUCCUGAACCAAAAUCCAAAAAUGUUUACUUUUCUUUUUCUUUUCUUUCUUUCUUUCUUUCUUUCUUUUUUUUUUUUUUUUUUUUCAAGACAGGGUUUCUCUGUGGCUUUGGAGGCUGUACUGGAACUCACUCGUUAGACCAGGCUGACCUCAAACUCACAGAGAUCUGCCUGCCUCUGCCUCCCGAGUGCUGGGAUUAAAGGUGUGUGCUACCACCACCCAGCCUAAUGUGUGCUUUUCUGAGACAGACUAUAAAGAUUACAAUUAAAUGGGGCA
rnacentral:lncRNA from 1 species